GUUUAGGCAUUUUUCCACAUUCUAGAAUAAGUUUCAUGAAUUUAUCAUUAAAUAAAAGAUUCCCCUUUCAUAAGCCUAUUUAAAAUCAUUUUCUAUAGUAUAUCAUGAACAUUGCAAUGAAUAAAAAAAAAAUCUAAAAUAAGUGUCCGUCGUAAAAAUGUCUUGACAAUAACAUCAACCCGUAUAAGAAACGUUUGGUAUGAUACAAUUUAACCACGA
rnacentral:lncRNA from 1 species